rnacentral:rRNA from 1 species
AGAUUGAACGCUGGCGGCAGGCCUAACACAUGCAAGUCGAGCGGUAGAGGGGUGCUUGCAUCUCUUGAGAGCGGCGGACGGGUGAGUAAUGCCUAGGAAUCUGCCUAGUGGUGGGGGAUAACGUUCGGAAACGGACGCUAAUACCGCAUACGUCCUACGGGAGAAAGCGGGGGACCUUCGGGCCUCGCGCCAUUAGAUGAGCCUAGGUCGGAUUAGCUAGUUGGUGAGGUAAUGGCUCACCAAGGCGACGAUCCGUAACUGGUCUGAGAGGAUGAUCAGUCACACUGGAACUGAGACACGGUCCAGACUCCUACGGGAGGCAGCAGUGGGGAAUAGUUGGACAAUGGGACGAAAGCCUGAUCCAGCCAUGCCGCGUGUGUGAAGAAGGUCUUCGGACUGUAAAGCUACUUUAAGUUGGGAGGUAAGGUUGUAAACCUAAUACGUUGCUAACUUUAGACGUUACCGAACAGAAUAAGCAACCGGCUAACUUCGUGCCAAGCAGCCCGGCGUAAC